rnacentral:misc_RNA from 1 species
UGGUUCUGGCAUCGAUGAAGAACGCAGCGAAAUGCGAUAAGUAAUGUGAAUUGCAGAAUUCAGUGAAUCAUCGAAUCUUUGAACGCACAUUGCGCCCCUUGGUAUUCCGAGGGGCAUGCCUGUUCGAGCGUCAUUACACCCGUCAAGCUCCGUGCUUGGUGUUGGGCCGGCGUCCCGCGGGACGGGCCCGAAUGGCAGUGGCGGUCCAGCGUGCCUGCGAGCGGAGUCGAUGAUGUCCGUCGCUCGCCAGGCGCGCCGGGGCUUGGCCAGUCAACCUUCCAAAACGUUUGACCUCGGAUCAGGUAGGGAUACCCGCUGA